GUGACUUUGCUAGUUUCGCCUCCAGUUUUGAUAGAGAAUACCUAGAGGGGGACGGGUCCGAGGGUUUCCCAGCCUUUGGUACGGCAGAAACACAGCGAGAAAAUAAUUGAAGAGACUUUACCCUAUUAUUCAAAAACAGCACAUUUCCAUACUUAGGUUUCCGAAAGAAGUGUAAAGAUUAGUAUCUGAUGUUUCAAAAGGAUGCAGCAAGGGAAAAUCUGGUACAUUUGAGAUUCGAUGUUUUGGUUUUAUAUGAAUUUUUAUAUCUUAAAUGAAAAUUGAAUUGAAUCUUUUUUACGGUUUGUGAUCUCAAAUAAACCAGGAGAACGAAACAUGUUUUCGAAACAUAUUA